CCCUUUUAAUGUAAACAUCAUUUUUUGGAUUGGACGGGAAGGCCCCCCCUUAAUGUAAAUAUCAUUACAAUAAUAAUCAUUAAAAAUUGGGGUCAGAUAAAUUGUUAUUACUCUCUUGAUGUCAACAUUUUCUUCUUGUUCAGGUAGAAUUUACAUUAGUUGGUCCGUCUUCCUCCACAAUAAUUAUAGUUAACUUAUGAUUUUUAUUUAGUUGAUUAGUCUUCCUCCACAACAAUUAUCGCCAAGUCAUGAUUUUGGUUUAUUAUUAACACACCAGUGAUCAGUACUAUUUUUUUUUUUUUUGCGAGUAGCUUCCAUCUAUGAUAAUACAACUACCGAUUAGCUUGCAUGUUUUUUUACAAAAGAUGCGAAUUUAAAAACGCCAUGUUAACACGUAUAGCAGAGAAAAGGAAAUUAAAUCCAAGAUUUAACGGUGCAAGGUAUGCAUCAUGUAUGCAAAGAGAAAGCACUAUAAAAUAUAGGGAAUAGAGAACGGAAAAUUCAUAAUAUGGUUAUGGCAUACCUCCUACCGGUGGAUUGGCGUUGGUGAUCAGGCGAUCGACGAUGACCUAACAUCGACCAAUGUUUGGAGGCGAGAGGCGCUCGGGUGUGCGUGUACCUACAAAUCCAGCGCUUGGAGAAUGGAGGCACUCGGGUAUGCUCAUGUCGUGUGCGCCGGUGAGCUUCCUUGCAUUCAGAGCUGAGACCAAUUAGUCGACUCGCAUCUGGGCCCCAGGGGAAAGCCGAUUAGAGAUUUAGGGUUCAUUGGCAUGGCGGCUCGCGAAAAGGAAGGAAAGACGACCUAAUUACGUUUGUAGACAAAAAAACGACCGGUAAUUACGUGAAUUCUGGCUGCGUACAUACACAACGCAACGUAGGUCCAGCACUGCCUCUUUUGCUGGGCCAUGGACCAACUUUUUUCUUUCCCUUGAGCGGUGGGCUAGGC
rnacentral:lncRNA from 1 species